rnacentral:rRNA from 1 species
UUGAACGCUGGCGGCAUGCUUUACACAUGCAAGUCGACCGGCAGCGGGGGCUUCGGCCUGCCGGCGAGUGGCGAACGGGUGAGUAAUGCAUCGGAACGUACCCAGUCGUGGGGGAUAACUACGCGAAAGCGUGGCUAAUACCGCAUACGCCCUGAGGGGGAAAGUGGGGGAUCGCAAGACCUCACGUUAUUGGAGCGGCCGAUAUCGGAUUAGCUAGUUGGUGGGGUAAAGGCUCACCAAGGCGACGAUCCGUAGCGGGUCUGAGAGGACGGCCCGCCACACUGGAACUGAGACACGGUCCAGACUCCUACGGGAGGCAGCAGUGGGGAAUUUUGGACAAUGGGGGCAACCCUGAUCCAGCCAUUCCGCGUGAGUGAAGAAGGCCUUCGGGUUGUAAAGCUCUUUCGGCAGGAACGAAACGGUGAGCUCUAACAUAGCUUGCUAAUGACGGUACCUGAAGAAGAAGCGCCGGCUAACUACGU